CGCUGGCGGCGCGCCUAACACAUGCAAGUCGAGGGGCAUCACAGUGUAGCAAUACACGGGGUGGCGACCGGCGCACGGGUGCGUAACACGUAUCCAAUCUGCCCGUUACUCGGGGAUAGCCUUCUGAAAGGAAGAUUAAUACCCGAUGGCAUGUAUUUCCGGCAUCGGAGAUACAUUAAAGAUUUAUCGGUAACGGAUGAGGAUGCGUACGAUUAGCUGGUUGGCGGGGUAACGGCCCACCAAGGCUACGAUCGUUAGGGGUUCUGAGAGGAAGGUCCCCCACACUGGAACUGAGACACGGUCCAGACUCCUACGGGAGGCAGCAGUGAGGAAUAUUGGUCAAUGGUCGAGAGACUGAACCAGCCAAGUAGCGUGAAGGAUGACUGCCCUACGGGUUGUAAACUUCUUUUGUUUGGGAAUAAAUGAUACUACGUGUAGUAUUUUGCAUGUACCUUACGAAUAAGCAUCGGCUAAUUCCGUG
rnacentral:rRNA from 1 species